UACAGAGGGUGCGAGCGUUAAUCGGAAUUACUGGGCGUAAAGCGCACGUAGGCGGCUUGGUAUGUCGGGUGUGAAAUCCCCGGGCUCAACCUGGGAACUGCAUCCGAAACUGCCUUGCUAGAGUAUGGGAGAGGGAAGUGGAAUUUCCGGUGUAGCGGUGAAAUGCGUAGAUAUCGGAAGGAACAUCAGUGGCGAAGGCGACUUCCUGGACCAAUACUGACGCUCAGGUGCGAUAGCGUGGGGAGCAAACAGG
rnacentral:rRNA from 1 species